CAGAAAAUAUAGCAGCAAAUGAGUUUGAAAAGCUGUGAGGGUGAAUAAAUGAUCAAACUAUCCCUUUUAGAUACUGUCGAGCUAAAAGGCAAUGAAAUGAGCAAGGAGAACAAGAUCCUCUGUCCCCAAGGCUUGUACAUAUAACUUUUAUAUUAACUUUUUUUUUUUUUUUUGUAGAUGAGCAUGCUAUUCAAAAGGGUUUUCUCUGCUGGCUGAAGACACAGGAGACUAAACAGAUAAAAAGAUUGGAGUCAACCCUAGCCAACUCUAUUCUUUCUUGAUGAAAACCGAUAUGUCCUAGAGACCAGGCCUGGGAGUAAAAUAAUAAAAAGUGAUUGCCUAAAGAGCUGCUCAGGAUGAGUGCAUUGUGGGUGAUAUUAUUCUAACCAGGUAUGAUUACAUCCAGGUCUACUUUCUCAGGAGGAAACUGAGCUGGACAAGAGGAAAGUAGCCAAGCGUGGGGGCAAGAGUCUCCUGCACCAACCUGUCAGUCAGCUCCCAUUGAGCAUGAAAUGAAAAUGUCUGCUCACUUCCAUGCCAACUAACAACUAGUUAUAGUGAAUUCAAG